AUACGUAGGUGACAAGCGUUAUCCGGAUUUACUGGGCGUAAAGGGCGUGUAGGCGGUCUUGCAAGUCAGAAGUGAAAUUCCUGAGCUCAACUCGGGCGCUGCUUCUGAAACUGCAGGACUUGAGUGCUGGAGGGGAUAGCGGAAUUCCUAGUGGAGCGGUAAAAUGCGCAGAUAUUAGGAAGAACACCGGUGGCGAAGGCGGCUAUCGGGAGAGUAACUUACACUCAGGCGCGAAAGCGUGGGGAGCAAACAGGAUUAGAUACCCUGUUAGUCCACGCCGUAAACGAUGAAUACUAUGUGUAGGGGGUAUCGACUCCCUCUGUGCCGCAGUUAACACAAUAAGUAUUCCGCCUGGGGAGUACGGCCGCAAGGUUGAAACUCAAAUGAAUUGACGGGG
rnacentral:rRNA from 1 species